GGGGUGAUGAAGGCCUGCACCCGGCCCCCGUCCCCAACUCUGCUCUGCUCCUGAAG
rfam:Pteropus alecto contig74618, whole genome shotgun sequence.